rnacentral:rRNA from 1 species
GACGAACGCUGGCGGCGUGCUUAACACAUGCAAGUCGAACGGAAAGGCCCUGCUUUUGUGGGGUGCUCGAGUGGCGAACGGGUGAGUUACACGUGAGUAUCCUGCCCUUGACUUUGGGAUAACUUCAGGAAACUGGGGCUAAUACCGGAUAGGUGCUCCUGCUGCAUGGUGGUGGUUGGAACGUUUCGGCGGUUGGGGAUGGACUCGCGGUUUAUCAGCUUGUUGGUGGGGUAGUGGCUUACCAAGGCUUUGGCAGCUAGCCGGCCUGAGAGGGGGGACGGGCACAUGGGGACUGAGAGACGGCGCAGACUCCAACGGGAGACAGCGGUGGGGAGUAUUGCACAAUGGGCGGAAGCCUGAGACAGCGACGCCGCGUGCGGGAUGACGGCCUUCGGGUUGUGAACCGCUGUCGCCUGUGACGAAGCGGGAGUGACGGUAAUAGGUGAAGAAGCACCGGCUAACUACGUG